AGCUCCUGCCGUCGCCGCCGCCGCGUGAGAACUACCAUUGGGAAGCCAAGGCCGUGAGGAGCCCUGAGGAGCUGGGUGCACUGUCCAGAGUUGACCGCUCUCCCGUCUCUCUGAGGUCCUUGACUCCACAGUGAGGCCCCCUCUUCAGACAGAAGGAAAAGAAAGUCCCAGCAGCCCAUCCUCCGGCUCUCCAACAGGCCUCGGUGGCCUAGCAUGGCCCACUGAGGUCAACCAUGACUGUCUGGCCA